rnacentral:rRNA from 1 species
AACGUAGGAGACGAGCGUUAUUCGGAUUUACUGGGCGUAAAGCGCGUGCAGGCGGUACGGAAAGUUGGAUGUGAAAGCUCCCGGCUUAACUGGGAGAGGUCGUUCAAAACUACCGAACUAGAGUGUGGGAGAGGGAGGCGGAAUUCCGGGUGUAGUGGUGAAAUGCGUAGAUAUCCGGAGGAACACCAGAGGCGAAAGCGGCCUCCUGGUCCACAACUGACGCUCAGACGCGAAAGCUAGGGUAGCAAACGGGAUUAGAGACCCCGGUAGUCCUAGCCGUAAACGAUGUAGACUUGGCGUCGGAGGGUUCAAAUCCUGCGGUGCCGCAGCAAACGCGAUAAGUCUACCGCCUGGGGACUACGGCCGCAAGGUUAAA